rnacentral:rRNA from 1 species
UACAGAGGUCCCGAGCGUUGUUCGGAUUCAUUGGGCGUAAAGGGUGCGUAGGUGGCGCUGUAAGUGGGGUGUGAAAUCCCGGGGCUUAACUCCGGAACUGCAUUCCAUACUGCGGUGCUUGAGGACUGGAGAGGAGACUGGAAUUUACGGUGUAGCAGUGAAAUGCGUAGAGAUCGUAAGGAAGACCAGUGGCGAAGGCGGGUCUCGUGGACAGUUCCUGACACUGAGGCACGAAGGCCAGGGGAGCAAACGGG